UGGGCCUCACCUGGACCUGGGCCGGAAGGGCCGUGGAGCGAGGGCGGUCACGGGUGGGCGCUGCGCCGCGUCGUCCCGAAACCUAAAAACCGCUGUACCUCUAAGUGAGCUGAGUACUCACGAGGAGGAUUUGGAUGACCAAAUCCGGGCGAAGUACAGAGCCAGCACGGAGCCCUUCGAAACUUUCUCGGGCGACUGAGCCCUCCCUGCUCUCACUAAUUCAGUAUUUUGAAGAUAAAGCAUCUGGAGUAGAAUUCCACUAGUGAACUCUUUCAAGUCCUGCCCUUGUCCCUGGAAUUCCAAUCUUUUCUUGCUUCCUUCUUCGGGUUUAGUUUCUGCAGCGUUUAGGUCGUCGUAGCACCUGCUUAGGUGCUGAGACGAGUGUGGAUUUGCAGUUUUAGCUGCUUCUAUUACUAUAGAGUGUUAACCAGCCACGAAGGAUAUCUGCAUCAUUUGAUGAGUAUUUUGCCCUAUUUAGAAAACGGGAAUUCUGGGGUCAGUGUUGUGCUUUUGCUUUGUUUUAUUACCAUAGAGGCAGAGAGGCAUGAGAGAUCAUUUUCCCGGACACGGCUGUCAGUGAGCUCGUCCUCAGCAGUAACUUCUGCGGGAACCGGGAGGAGUCAAAGUCCGAUCUAGUCCGUGUUGUACCUUUGCGAUAUACCGCAGCCAAAGCAGAGUGUCGCCAUCUGGGACUUUUGGAAGUCCCCAAGAGUGAAUGUUAAAGGGAAAGCCAGAGAAACAUCAGUAAUUUAUUGUCACCUGCUGCUUACUAAAGGAACAGAAAAGCUGAAAAACAAAACAAAAAAACCCACCCCCGAGGCAAAGCAGCGACUCUACUCGUUCUGUGGAAAGAAAAUAGCGCCAUCUACUGGAAGAACUCUUCAUUUAGGGAUCCAAGGACGGGCCUUUUUGCCUGGGAGAAGGGGAGCGGGAAAGUGCUUCCAUCAGCUAAAUAGAAAGUUUUAAAUGUGGAUUUUUGUUUUACAGGAACCAGUACCCGGUUAUAACUGCUAGUUAAAAAUGGAUGAAAAGUGCUAAACAUCCGCAUCUCUUGAAAAGGAGUGAAAAAUGUCCUCUCUCUAAAGGAUAAAGGAGAUGACGCUGUCUGCAUUCAUUAUUACCUUUUCAUUCUUUUGUUUGCAGUGCUGGGUUUCAUUCUUUUGUUUGCAGUACCCCAGUACUGCAGACAAAGCAAAGCAAAACAAAACGACAAGGGAACAAACCCCUAUCCUAGAAAACUGAGGUCCGCAACUCCUGAGACUUGUUUACCCGGCUGCUUUUGUUUUCUCCUGGGGUCUUGUCCUGGCCUCUGUCUGCAGUCUCCCUGCCUUGCUCUCGCCUCUCCCAGCCAGCUCAGACCUGUUUCAGGUUCCCCUUUCCUAUAAAGGCUGGGGUUUGGCCAUCAGCCUUUCUCCAGGCCUUCUCAACAUUCCUUCCACUGAUUCACUCAACAAGAAAUAUUCAUCCAGUUUGAGUCGCUCUGCCGGGCAAACAGGCUUUGUAGGUAAAAGAGGUCCCAGCACCUCCCCAAAGUAUGCCCAGGAUGGGCUUGUGUUCUCACACACACACACACACACACACACGUAUGCACAUGUACACGUACACACUGAACCAUCCACCGGGAGAUGGCCUGCAGUAAGCCCUCAUACGGGGAUGAGAGAGCAGCAGAAGCAGUAAUUCUGUUGGGAAAUUAAGAAAGACACUGGACGCAUUGCUUUUUGAGCUGGUGUCACUGGACAGAUAGAUCAGCAUACCUAUAAUAUAUGUAAUCAGUGGAAAACAGCCCCACAGUAUCUGAAAAACAUCAUUUUUUGGAUUACCUGAUAAUUCAGUAUUUAGGAAUCUACCCUAUUGAAGUACAAGCAUUAUUAUAAGAUGUUCACCCUGAGACCUUUGAAAAGAGAGCCGAGAUGUUUGCAACUUACUUUGAAAUAAUUCAGCACAGGACGUGUGCAGAGAGAUACAGAUCAAGCGAAUGUGACAGACGUUAGAUCAGCUGAACGGGAGAGCCCUGGUGAAGCAGCUAGGAUAAAUACGCCCCUCUGGAGACUUCUGGAUCCGGCAUCCUUCUCCAACCAUCACGUACUUUCAUCUCCCGUGGACUCCUACAGUUUAUGAGGACCAAGAGAGACUCUCGUCAUCAGAAAAAGGGUUUGGUCAUGGUACAGUGGGUUCCCCACCUGACGCGUGGGCAACAGCCCUGCCUCACCUGUCAGUGUGGUGCAGUCCUUCAGUGCCCCCGUUUCCAGCCUGCCUUCAGCUCCUCAGGCUGCCCAAGCUCCUUGCUGCCCCAGGCUGUAACACCCACUGCUCCAGGAGCCUUGGGUCUCCUUCCAUCCACGCUCAGAGCACCCAGAGGCUGGCGCCUCCUUUAGGACUUGGCUGAAAUGUGACCUGCUUGGAGAGGACUUUCGGUACGACACUGGCCCCUUCCUCACGGUAGAGUUCACCACAGACACGUGCGGUUUGGUCAUCUGUUUAUGUCUUUUACUGGCUGUCUUCCUUCAUCAGAUUUUAAGAUAGACAAGUGUGUUUCAUCCUAGGAUCCUCAGUACCUCUAUGAUACCUGCCACCCAGAGAAACACUGAAAAUAUUUGUGAAUCCAGUGAAUAAGUCUUAGGGCGGGAAAUACCUCAGGGGAAGCCAGUUCAGCUCUUGUCCUCUGCUUUAAUUAAGGACCUGCCCAUGAGGGCAGUCCUUCCUAAACUGCAGCAAAGCAAGACUAAUGAGAAUGAUACUUUUUCAGUGUCCUCUGUAUAUGCAACUUCAGAGAUUGUGCUUUUCCUGUUGGGGCUCUUGAGAUGCCUUCUCUUAAACCAUGGUGACAGGGAGUGGUAUCUGGCUGCUUGGUGUACUUACUUGGAAAAAUAAAAACAUAGCGAUUUUC